rnacentral:tRNA from 1 species
UCCCUGGUGGCCCAGUGGCUAAGGCUCCGCACUCCCAAUGCAGGGGGGACCCGGGUUCGAUUCCUGGUCGGGGAA